rnacentral:rRNA from 1 species
GGUCUUUUGUUGAUUUUGUUACGAAGGUUAACGUGGGAAGUUGACGGCUUGGGAGUCCGGCCCGCAAGGGUGGAAACUCAACGGACUUGACGUGGACCCGCACAAGCGGGUGGAAUGAUGUGGUUUUAAAUUCGAUGCAACGCGGAAAAACCUUACCCACCUUUUGACAUGUACGGAAUCCUUUAGAGAUGGAGGAGUGCUCGAAAGAGAGCCGUAACACAGGUGCUGCAUGGCUGUCGUCAGCUCGUGUCGUGAGAUGUUGGGUUAAGUCCCGCAACGAGCGCAACCCUUGUCAUUAGUUGCUACAUUUAGUUGGGCACUCUAAUGAGACUGCCGGUGACAAACCGGAGGAAGGUGGGGAUGACGUCAAGUCCUCAUGGCCCUUAUAGGUAGGGCUACACACGUCAUACAAUGGAUGGUACAAAGGGUCGCCAACCCGCGAGGGGGAGCCAAUCCCAUACAAGCCAUUCGUAGUCCGGAUCGCAGUCUGCAACUCGACUGCGUGAAGUCGGAAUCGCUAGUAAUCGUGGCAUCAGAAUGUCACGGUGAAUACGUUCCCGGGUCUUGUACACACCGCCCG